CCCGAUUUGAAGCAGUUGAAAAGGCAAAUCCCGAUAUCCCGAUCGGGAUUGCAAAAAUACCCCGAAAUCCUGAUUUUCUAAAAAUAUCUCCCAUUUUACGACAACAAAUCCCCAUUUCCAACCGGAAUUUGAAAUCCUGCGUCAUUUCUGAACUGGCCAAUCAGAAAUCGGGACAAUAGUCAGCCAUUGCUGUUUACAUGUGUCGCAUGGUAUAUAUCGGGGUGAUGUAAUUUACCUGGUCUGCCUGUGUCUGGGUGCUUAUUGGACAGUGCGAAGCAUGUUUUGAAAGUAAUUAAUCGGGACGGAUUUCAAAUUGACAUAUCCUUUACACAAACGUGAAUGACAACGAUAAUAGUGUCACCAUGCACCACCAAGCAAUCGGACAUUCCCGAUUUUUUGCCUCUCACUGACAGCAUCCAAAAUAUGCAAUAAGAUGUCAUGGGUGCAAAGGUUUUGUUCGCAAACUUCAUAGCAGGGCAGACUACUCCUUUUCUGGUUGCAAUGCAGAUUGUUCCACCAGACUCUGCAAGCCCAUGUUUACAGACAACCAAGAUCGCCUUUGUAGUCGUACCGAAAUGCAUGUGCUUCAAUUUAAAUUUUGAUAUAUAGACCAGCCAAUGUGUAUAUGGUGUAAAAGGAUGCAACUUUAAGUAUUAUUUGAUAUUUGUAAUGUCACUUGUUGAAGAGGAUUUUUUGCUGAAUAGAUAAUUUUAAUAAAAUACUUAUGUAUAUCUUUCAAA